rnacentral:rRNA from 1 species
GUCCAGACUCCUACGGGAGGCAGCAGUGAGGAAUAUUGGUCAAUGGGCUUACGCCUGAACCAGCCAAGUCGCGUGAGGGAAGACUGCCCUAUGGGUUGUAAACCUCUUUUGUCAGGGAGCAAUUGGCGCUACGUGUAGCGUUAUCGAGAGUACCUGAAGAAAAAGCAUCGGCUAACUCCGUGCCAGCAGCCGCGGUAAUACGGAGGAUGCGAGCGUUAUCCGGAUUUAUUGGGUUUAAAGGGUGCGUAGGCGGAAUGCCAGGUCAUGGGUAAAAUCGCGGGGCUCAACCCCAACCAGCCGUUGAAACUGGGGAUCUAGAGUGUGCGAGAGUUAUGCGGAAUGCGUGGUGUAGCGGUGAAAUGCAUAGAUAUCACGCAGAACCCCGAUUGCGAAGGCAGCAUACCGGUGCACAACUGACGCUCAGGCACGAAAGCGUGGGUAUCGAACAGGAUUAGAUACCCCCGUAA